rnacentral:rRNA from 1 species
AUACAGAGGGUGCAAGCGUUAAUCGGAUUUACUGGGCGUAAAGCGCGCGUAGGUGGCCAAUUAAGUCAAAUGUGAAAUCCCCGAGCUUAACUUGGGAAUUGCAUUCGAUACUGGUUGGCUAGAGUAUGGGAGAGGAUGGUAGAAUUCCAGGUGUAGCGGUGAAAUGCGUAGAGAUCUGGAGGAAUACCGAUGGCGAAGGCAGCCAUCUGGCCUAAUACUGACACUGAGGUGCGAAAGCAUGGGGAGCAAACAGGAGUAGAAACCCCAGUAGUCC